AAAUAUCCUGAGGCCCUUGGUUCCUCUUUCCUUCUCCCAAUUGUUUGCAUUUAGACAUGUUUCCUUAGGUGCCAGAGGAAACACACUGCUCUGCUGAAAUGCAUGUAGAUUGCAUGUUUAAUCUCUGAUUGGACUGAAGAGGCUAACCAUCAGCAGGUGAAGAGAUGCAUCCUAUCUCUAGCUUCCUGAGAAGAGCUAAGUAGAAAAGGUCUGUACAGGCAGGGCCUGCAGUGUGCACCAGCCGUGACUUGGACACUUUUCCACAGCAGACUCUACACUCUUGGAAAGCCUGGUUGAAAGGAGGUAGCUGCAGAUUGGGGAAAACCUUCAUCAUAGUGUGUGAUUUUAAAAUGCUUUAUUAUUUCAUGAUUUGUAGGAUUUUUUUCUAGAAAUUAUCUUAAUGAUGCCAUGGACUAAUGAUGCAAAAUUUCUAAUAAGUGGUAUUUUGUUAAUAUGCAUAUUAUUUGAUUCUGGAAUUCCUGGGGAACAAAAUAUUAUAUUUCAUUGGACUCUACUAUACAAAUGAACAUUUGAUUUAUAUAACUUACAUGAUAGGUGUUAUUUUACAAUGUAUGCUAGGGUUAAUUACCAUCUUCAUUGGGUGUUUUUACUAAUUUUCAGAUUUAACCCCGUAUCCCUCCAAAAAUAUUUAUUCUCAGCCAAAUGCCAGCUGCAAGACCCAGGCUCAGAGUAUUUAAGCACAUGAGUCCAACUUUAAAUCAGAUGUGUACAACUUGGGCUUACGGAAAGGUUGCAGGUCCAUUUGCUCCACUUGCCUUUCCAGAAUUAAAGAGAAAGAAACAUCGGUGAAGGGAUAGAUUAUCAGCUUUGAGUGAAAUUGUCUUGACCUGAUCUGACAUCCGCAGACCUUUGGUUUCUUCCUGUCUUUAGCACCUCCAAAGAAAGGCUAAGAUGAAACAGGCCACACAUAGACUUGCUCCUUUGCUUCCUCAGCAUAGUUGUCAACGUUGUUUAAACAGCCUUGAAAUCACAGGGUGAGCUGUUUCUUUUGUACUUCACAAACCUCUAACAGAGUUGUCCCACUUUAAGGUCACAUACUGUUUACUAUUCUAGAGCUUAGCCAUGAACAAAGGAUUACUUUUGAAUUACAAAACAAGAGGCCUGAAAAAUUCUUAGUUCUGUUCUGGCUCUGAAACAAAGACUAAACUUUCAAUGUUUAGCCAUGGGUCAUAGCGCUUCAAUAUAACUAACUACACAACAUUUUUUCUAACUAAUGUAACUAACUACACUAUAUAGGGCUAUACAUAGGGCUUCAAUACAACUAACUACACUACAGUUUUUCAAGGGCAAACUUCUGCUUGUUGUAUACUGAACUCUGAAGUAACAGUCACAACAGCAUUUUACAGACACCUGAAUUUCUGCACAAGUCAUUAUAGAUCUUGAUUUUUAAAUUUUGUUGGAGAGGAAGUUAGAAUCU
rnacentral:lncRNA from 1 species